CUGUGGACACCCCUGGCCAUCCCAACCUGGGACCAGAGCACCCACAGAAAUGGCAAGAAGGACCCCACCACAGCUCCAAACAACAGCAAAUGUCACCAGCAAUCAGAGAGGAAAAACAGCUGCUUAGCCUGAGCAAUCUUGCAUUUUCAGCAAAGAGGGAGAGAAAUUAGAUACAAGGGGAAUAAAGAAGAAUCCCUCCUUAGCAAGAUUUUCCUGGGACUUCAGGAGGAUGCACAUAAAAUACUUAGCGCAGAAUACAUUAGAUUAUCCUCCUACCUCAUUUUAUUGGGCCUAAUAAUUA